rnacentral:rRNA from 1 species
GAUGAACGCUGGCGGCGUGCCUAACACAUGCAAGUCGAGCGGAAGGACGAGAAGCUUGCUUCUCUGUUGUUAGCGGCGGACGGGUGUGUCACACGUGGAUAACCUACUUAUAAGACUGGGAUCACUUCGGGAAACCGGAGCUAAUACCGUAUAAUCUUUUGCACCGCAUGGUUCGAAGGUGAAAGACGGUCUUGCUGUCUCUAAUAGCUGGAUCUGCGCUGCAUUAGCUAGUUGGUAAGGUAACGGCUUACCAAGGCAACGAUGCGUAGCCGACCGGAGAGGGGGAUCGGCCGCACUGGAACGGGGACGCCGACCUGGCUCCUACGGGAGGCACCAGAAGGGAAUCGUCGGCAGUGGUCGAAAGCCUGACGGAGCGGGGCCACGUGUGUGAUGAAGGUCUUCGGUUCGUAAAGCUCGGUUAUUGGUGAUGAACAGAUGUGGAAGUAGCCGUAGACUGCUUGACGGUACCGAGUCAAAAAGCCCCGGCUAACUACGUG